rnacentral:RNase_P_RNA from 1 species
CGUACAGUCGGCCUUGUCGCUUUAUUUUAAAGAGGAAAGUCCGAACAACAAAGAGCACCGCGCUUCUUAACGGGAAGGCAUACGUUUUAAGAACGUUUGACAGCUAGUGCCACAGAGAGGUAGACCGCCUAUUUACACCGAUCGAGUAAUUAGGUAAGGGUGAAAAGGUGGAGUAAGAGCCCACCAGUGGCUUAGGUAACUAAGUCAGCUUGGUAAACCUCGCGGGUUGAAAUGCCAUGUAAACCGAUGCUUGAGAGCUGCUCGCUCGAUAUCGGAGGGUAGGCAGAUAGAACUUAUUGGUGACAAUAAGUGUAGAUCAAUGACAAGGACACACAUUGUUGUGUACAGAAUUCGGCUUACACGGCUGUACGUUUU